GUGGACGCCAGUCUGCAUGGAGCCGGCCUUGAAAUACCACCCUUUAAUGUUUGAUGUUCUAACGUGGACCCGUAAUCCGGGUUGCGGACAGUGUCUGGUGGGUAGUUUGACUGGGGCGGUCUCCUCCUAAAGAGUAACGGAGGAGCACGAAGGUUGGCUAAUCCUGGUCGGACAUCAGGAGGUUAGUGCAAUGGCAUAAGCCAGCUUGACUGCGAGCGUGACGGCGCGAGCAGGUGCGAAAGCAGGUCAUAGUGAUCCGGUGGUUCUGAAUGGAAGGGCCAUCGCUCAACGGAUAAAAGGUACUCCGGGGAUAACAGGCUGAUACCGCCCAAGAGUUCAUAUCGACGGCGGUGUUUGGCACCUCGAUGUCGGCUCAUCACAUCCUGGGGCUGAAGUAGGUCCCAAGGGUAUGGCUGUUCGCCAUUUAAAGUGGUACGCGAGCUGGGUUUAGAACGUCGUGAGACAGUUCGGUCCCUAUCUGCCGUGGGCGCUGGAGAACUGAGGGGGGCUGCUCCUAGUACGAGAGGACCGGAGUGGACGCAUCACUGGUGUUCGGGUUGUCAUGCC
rnacentral:rRNA from 1 species